AGAGGUUUCCUGUGCUGCAAGAUCAAGUCUACAACAAGAUAAAAUUGUAUACUGUUCAUAGUCUGAGAAAGUCUCAAUGAGCAGCCUUCACUUUCAUCCAGAGCUUGUUUCAUGCAAUGUGUUCAUUAAAGAGUUGCUCCAUUUCAGAGGUGGAUUAAGUGAUUAACAUAAAGAAGUUCAGGAUUCAUCCAGGAGAAUAAAAAAGAGUGACAAGGCUUGCUACUCUAUUUUUAUGUGAGCAUCGCUCUCAGAUCUUAUCAGUACAGAUUGAAAAUGGAAAAGUGGAAAUGCGCAUUAUUCUCCCAUUGAUGGAAAAGAUGUGAGAAGCAAGCCAAUAGCGCUGUGAUCUUCAGCAGAAGAAUAGUUUACAGCUUUUUGACACAAAACCCAAUAUUCUCCUGGGAAAGGUCAAAAGAGACCCAGGAACUACUUAUCCUUAUCAAUUGACCAGUCUUAAGAUUGUUGGGAAAAGGUACAGGAUGUAUAACAAGGAGAAAGAAUGCAAAAUGGUGCCAUUAAGGUAACAACUGAAUAGAAAAAAAAUCCCUUUACUGGUAUUACAAACAAGUUUCAAGAUCCAUACAAUUGAAAAAGGUGCAAUGAAAUCAGUGUACUUAAUGCCACUGCAGCAUCUUUCUAAGUAGUUCUCCUAAUGAAGAGCUAAUAAAUAUGGAGUCUUUGCACAUUGUUACUCAGCACAUAAUGCAUGAAACAUGAUUCCUGGGAUCUUUUUUUUCCGGGAAAAAACCAAGAGACUUAGUUGCUCCAGUGGAUCUCUGCAAAAGUUAUUUUGGUGCACAUCAGCUUUGGGAACCAAUGAUUUAAUUUUCUUGUGAUAUUGCUAUCAGGUUACUCAAAUUAUAAUACUUUGCUCUCUCCCUGCAGAGCUGGAAGACCUUGCAUCGCAAUCCUAUUUAAUGUGCAUAUAGCAGUAUGGAUAGCUUCCACUUCCCUUAUUUCCUGCAGGCAGCAAUUAUAAUUCCAUCUCUGCCUUCUUUCCACAACCCCUCCCAUAUGACCUGCUGUACCAUUUGAGGUCUUUAGUAUGCUAUCUAUUACAGAUCACAAAAAACCCCAAACAACUUCUGUAUGAAAUUUGUAAUAUCUGAGUUCUCUGACAUUUCUUAGCAUCUGACAGUGAUCAGACGUGGCAUCAUCUCUGGGCAUAUCACUAGAAGAGAUGACAGACCAAGAACAAAUGCAAUUCUCCAACAUAUUUUUGAGAGCAAGCUAUUGGAAGUUGAGAAGUUUUGGAGUUCAAAGGAACCAAUUUAGGAUUUCCAAGGAACUGGAAAAUUCAAUUCUGCCACAGAUUCAAGCCCUAAAAGCACCUUUCCUACUACAAAAAAAAAAACCCCGAAACCAAACCUGGAAGGAAUAAUGUCAGUUGUUUCUGUAUCACUUUCUUAUAAGAUGGAAAAGGAUUUUUGUGAAAUGUUUAAUAAGAUGAAUGGAAGUACACAUCAGCUUUGUUUAUGUGUUGCUUUGUUUUUUGGGAAAACUACUGGAUUUUCUUUCUUGUCCUGCAUGAUACACAGCAAAGGGACAGAGAGCUCUGGCAGGUGCUUAUUAAUAGUUUACAUAAAUCUAGAGAUAAAACUUCAUGAAACAGUUUGAGAGAAGGACUGAAAGAUGGCUGAUGUUAUGUACCAACACUGGUUUGAAAUGUUUGAAGUAGUGCUUUUGUAGUUGCAGCCCCCAUAAUUGUAAUGUGCAGCCUUAUGAGUCCUUUCACCUAUUCUUUUCAUUUACCAAGCUCCACACGUUCUGCACCUUUUCAAAUAAUUCAGUUGUGUUCGUUGUCUAAUCAUUUGUUGUCUUACUCCAUCUCAUCCCUCUCCACAAUUCAGUCAUACAUCAUUCCCUGUAGAGGGUGUUCACUCCAACACGCUGCAAGAGC